AGUGAACGCUGGCGGUAGGCCUAACACAUGCAAGUCGAACGGCAGCACAGUAAGAGCUUGCUCUUACGGGUGGCGAGUGGCGGACGGGUGAGGCAUACAUCGGAAUCUACUUUUUCGUGGGGGAUAACGUAGGGAAACUUACGCUAAUACCGCAUACGACCUACGGGUGAAAGCAGGGGAUCUUCGGACCUUGCGCGAUUGAAUGAGCCGAUGUCGGAUUAGCUAGUUGGCGGGGUAAAGGCCCACCAAGGCGACGAUCCGUAGCUGGUCUGAGAGGAUGAUCAGCCACACUGGAACUGAGACACGGUCCGGACUCCUACGGGAGGCAGCAGUGGGGAAUAUUGGACAAUGGGCGCAAGCCUGAUCCAGCCAUACCGCGUGGGUGAAGAAGGCCUUCGGGUUGUAAAGCCCUUUUGUUGGGAAAGAAAAGCAGCAGGUUAAUACCCCGCUGUUCUGACGGUACCCAAAGAAUAAGCACCGGCUAACUUCGUG
rnacentral:rRNA from 1 species